UACGGAGGGGACUAGCGUUGUUCGGAAUUACUGGGCGUAAAGCGCACGUAGGCGGAUUUGUAAGUCAGGGGUGAAAUCCCGAGGCUCAACCUCGGAACUGCCUUUGAUACUGCAAAUCUCGAGUCCGGAAGAGGUGAGUGGAAUUCCUAGUGUAGAGGUGAAAUUCGUAGAUAUUAGGAAGAACACCAGUGGCGAAGGCGGCUCACUGGCCCGGUACUGACGCUGAGGCGCGAAAGCGUGGGGAGCAAACAGG
rnacentral:rRNA from 1 species